GUUGGUUAAUUUGCUUAUGAGUAUUAACAAGAUUAGUUUGACAACUAAUCUAUGGAAUUCUUCUAAUCAGAAGCUUGAGUACAUGGUUUUCAUCGAACAUUUUAUGGAUAAUGAUUGGAAGUUGCAAAAACAUGUGCUCAAUUUUGUUCAUAUACUGACUCCUUGACCUGGUGUUGAGAAAGUUGCUGCUAUUCGUAAGUGUCUAAUUGAAUGGGGAAUUGAGAACAAGGUGUUCAGUAUCUUGGUUGACAAUGCUUCAAGUAAUGACGUGGCAAUCAAGAUUUUGGGGGAGAAUUUAGGAAGAAACAAGAAGCUAAUGUGUGGUGGGAGGUUAUUUCAUGUGCGGUGCGCGACACACAUAUUGAAUCUCAUGGUUCAGGUUGAGCUUUCCCAAAUUAAGCCCAUCAUUCAAGACAUACGUGACUGUAUUUUGUAUGUUAAGCAAUCAAAGACCAGAGUAAUUAUGUUUUUAGAGAUUGUUCAGAUGUUGCAGUUGCCUAAGCAGAAACUCAUACUUGAUUGCAAAACGAGGUGGAAUUCUACUUAUGAGAUAUUGGCACUUGCAAUGCAGUACAGAGAUGUGUUUCCAAUGUUAGUUCAAUUGGAUAAUAACUUUACUUAUGCCCCAAUAUAUGAAGAUUGGGAAAAACUUGAGAAAGUAUGUGAGAUUUUGGAAGCCUUCAACUCGGCAACUAAAGUCAUAUCGGGGAGUGAGUACCCCACUUCUAACUUAUUUUUGCAAGAAAUUGUUAACAUAAAAGAGUUGCUAGAUAAAAAGUGUUCUAAUGAUGAUGAUUCCAUUCGAUCAAUGGUAGGAAAGAUGAAAGAAAAGUUUGACAAGUAUUGGGGGGAAUGCAAUUUCAUAAUGGCAAUUGCGGCUGUAUUGGAUCCGAGGAUGAAAAUGAGGCUGUUGCAAUUUGCCUACCCAUAAAUGUAUCCUGAUGAAGAAGCACAAGACAAAAUUGAUGAAGUGCAAGCUGCCUUGUAUGAGAUUUAUGAGGAAUACGCAACGGAAAGUCAAUCUUCCAACAGUGAACCACCUGUAGAAAUCAGUAAAGUUCAGCAGGACAAUGUACAACACCCUAAAUGUACUAGUUCACGGUUCUGUCAGUUUGUUAGGACAACUCAAAUGGUGCAGCAUGAGAAAUCUGAGUUAGAUCGUUAUCUAGAGGAGAAAUGUUUGUUAUGAGACGAGGAUGAUAUCUCAUUUGAUGCGUUACAGUGGUGGAAGGUAAAUCAAAUGAACUAUCGCAUUCUAUCUAUGAUGGCUCGUGAAAUACUUGUCAUUCCAAUCACCACGGUUGCUUCGGAGGCAACUUUCAGUGCUGGGGGUCAAGUUAUUGAUACUUAUCGAUCAUCGUUGUCUCCCGAUAUUGUGCAAGUGAUACUCUGUGGUGGUGAUUGGUGUCGCAAUCUGUAUGGAGUCAAGAAAAGUUACAAAAAAAUGCUCUUGCCUUGCGGCCUGCCCCCAGAAAGAGAAGAUGAUUGAAACAUGCUUUUGAGACUCUGAAAGUGAAUGUUUUGGAUUAUGUCUAUAGCUCCUAUUUGUAAUAUCUCUUUAUGUUGGUUUUCAUGUGACACUGGGAACACUUGGUAGUGAAUUAAAUUUGCAAGAAAGAUU